GUUACGUAACCCCAAAGGCUCUUUUAAGAGCCACGCAUGUUUUCAAUAAAUGAGUUGUAAUCCUUUAAUUUCGAAAGGGAGAUUUUUCGAUUUUUCAGCACCAUAUUUCCAAUGGCACUGCAGAGAAAAUAGAAAUUAUGGGGAAUAACGAUAGCUACCAGAAAUGGGAAUGUUCACGGUGAGGACAUAGUAAAUCAUUAGCUCAUUAGUAUCACACAACACUAGCAUAAACUGACAGUAUUGUAAAUGUACAGGCCUUUCGUUUUCGUGUGGAGACUUCCAAGCUGAUCGUGAUGUUGAUCCGAGACUCGGUGUGGUGAUGACGGCCCUGAGCACAACAGAUCACACGCUCUGACAACUUCCUUCUGUUUGGAGCUUUCUCCACCACCACUCCCGCCCCACUUGUAAAAUUUUUACCAUGCAGAUACGUAAUAACUGCAAGUAAAGGCUGAAUAUGAAUACAAUGUGAGCUGAACACGGAACUAUUAAAAAGAUUUAUUGUUUGUUUGCUUUGUAGUUGGGGCCGUUUCUGUGUCAGCUUACGCGAGCGGGGGAAGGAAAGACGUAUCCUAGGCUCUGAGUUUCGGGGCGUGGGAGGCGGGACGGCGGGGGUGUGUGGGAAGAAGCAGCUACUGAGACACCUUAAAAUUCUUUUGGUAACUAUCUUUUUCAGAAAGCCAUUUAAUUUAUAGUCUUCUUUUGGCAGCUGUUAGCUUAAAAGUCUUCUAGGUAACGGAAGAAACCAAACAAUCAUUAAAGGGUCUGAUUGCAGAUAGGCAAGUUACCGCAGGACUGAGGCCCCCUUUGCAGUACAAUUUACCUUUUUUUAGAUGCCCCUGAGUACCGAGGACUGGAAGAGGCAGAAAGGGAAAGAAAACCCCCUUGUGGAAGGAUGUAGCUUCUGCACAAGAUCGAGUCUUACCCUGUCAUCCAGGCGGGAGUGCAGUGUCCCAAUCUUGGCUCACCGCAGCCUGCACCUUCCAGGUUUAAUCGAUUCUUCUGCUUCAGCCUCCCAAACAGCUGUCAUUACAGGUGACAGCAUCGCGGAUGACAUUUUCCAGGAAAACCUUCAGCACUCCGCGAGUCUCCUCAUAGAUAAGACCAGAAAUACGCUUGACACCGCCGCGGCGAGCCAAGCGCCGGAUGGCGGGCUUGGUGAUUCCCUGGAUGUUGUCACGCAAUACUUUACGAUGACGCUUGGCGCCACCCUUGCCUAG
rnacentral:lncRNA from 1 species